GACGAACGCUGGCGGCGUGCUUAACACAUGCAAGUCGAGCGGUAAGGCCCUUUCGGGGGUACACGAGCGGCGAACGGGUGAGUAACACGUGGGUGACCUGCCCUCAGCUCUGGGAUAAGCCUGGGAAACCGGGUCUAAUACCGGAUAUGACUCCAUGACGCAUGUUGUGGGGUGGAAAGCCUUGUGCGGCUGAGGAUGGGCCCGCGGCCUAUCAGCUUGUUGGUGGGGUGAUGGCCUACCAAGGCGACGACGGGUAGCCGGCCUGAGAGGGCGACCGGCCACACUGGGACUGGGACACGGCCCAGACUCCUACGGGAGGCAGCAGUGGGGAAUCUUGCGCAAUGGGCGAAAGCCUGACGCAGCGACGCCGCGUGAGGGAUGACGGCCU
rnacentral:rRNA from 1 species